GGGGUAAUCAUUCCCUACUCCUGAAGCAAGAUUCCACCUAAUGCCUCAUGGUUUGCAAAGUUUUCAGCCUGGCUUUUGGUCCUGUGUUCUGGUCCUGUGUGAAUGCUGGGUACCCCUCCCUCUGCUGUGGACAGCUCUCUCUUGCUCCAGGUCCUCAGUAUUUAUUUCGGUUUCUUUGGACUCUCAGCUUUGUCUUCUCAGCUCAUGGAGUCUGCAAGCUGGGCCAGGGUCACCUCCUUGUGCUGUGGGAACUCUCUGGACUUGGCCACCCAGUGGGACUCCAGCCACCCCCACUCCCCACGUACAGCGACAACAAGGUGGGACUGUUCCUCCGCUUAUUAAAAAAAGAGUUUGCUUUCCAAGACCUUGAUGAAAUAUAUAAAAAUAUUUAAAUGCUGUCAACUCAGUCUUUAAGUAUGCUGU